UACCCAUUGGGAACUAGUGUGCCUGGACUUUCAACAGUAUCGUACCUUACUGUUUGCGACAAAGACUAUUGAAAAGAAGGGAAAUGAAUGGACUCAGAUUGUUGGAUUCCUCUCGUAUUGAUUGUUAGAAAGAUCCCCUGGUCAGGCUCCCGAGUGGCGCAGCAUCUCAGUGCUAGAGGUGUCACUACAGACCCUGGUUCGAUCACAACCGGCCGUGAUUGAUUGUUAGAAAGAUCCCCUGGUCAGGCUCCCGAGUGGCGCAGCAUCUCAGUGCUAGAGGUGUCACUACAGACCCUGGUUCGAUCACAACCGGCCGUGAUUGAUUGUUAGAAAGAUCCCCUGGUCAGGCUCCCGAGUGGCGCAGCAUCUCAGUGCUAGAGGUAUCACUACAGACCCUGGUUCGAUCACAACCGGCCGUGAUUGAUUGUUAGAAAGAUCCCCUGGUCAGGCUCCCGAGUGGCGCAGCAUCUCAGUGCUAGAGGUGUCACUACAGACCCUGGUUCGAUCACAACCGGCCGUGAUUGAUUGUUAGAAAGAUCCCCUGGUCAGGCUCCCGAGUGGCGCAGCAUCUCAGUGCUAGAGGUAUCACUACAGACCCUGGUUCGAUCACAACCGGCCGUGAUUGAUUGUUAGAAAGAUCCCCUGGUCAGGCUCCCGAGUGGCGCAGCAUCUCAGUGCUAGAGGUGUCACUACAGACCCUGGUUCGAUCACAACCGGCCGUGAUUGAUUGUUAGAAAGAUCCCCUGGUCAGGCUCCCGAGUGGCGCAGCAUCUCAGUGCUAGAGGUAUCACUACAGACCCUGGUUCGAUCACAACCGGCCGUGAUUGAUUGUUAGAAAGAUCCCCUGGUCAGGCUCCCGAGUGGCGCAGCAUCUCAGUGCUAGAGGUAUCACUACAGACCCUGGUUCGAUCACAACCAGCCGUGAUUGGGAGUCCCACAGGGCGGCACACAAUUGGCCCAACGUCGUCCGGGUUUGGCCGGUGUAGGCCGUAAUUGUAACUAAUAAUUUGUUCUCGGCUGACUUGUCUAGUUAAAUAAAUGUUAAAUAAAACACUAGUAAGGAGCAUCAACAACUGGUUUGGGAUUUGCCACUAUACAUUCAAUGGGUACUUUAUGGUAUCUGUCAUCUGUCCUUUAAUAUUGUCUUGAAGGUGAAUUGACUGUUUGCCGGGGAGAUCUGAGUUUAGAGUAGACAGAGUGUGAAGGUGAAUUGACUGUUUGCAGAGGAGAUCUGAGUUUAGAGUGGACAGAGUGUGAAGGUGAAUUGACUGUUUGCCGGGGAGAUCUGAGUUUAGAGUGGACAGAGUGUGAAGGUGAAUUGACUGUUUGCCGAGGAGAUCUGAGUUUAGAGUGGACAGAGUGUGAAGGUGAAUUGACUGUUGGCCGGGGAGAUCUGAGUUUAGAGUAGACAGAGUGUGAAGGUGAAUUGACUGUUUGCCGGGGAGAUCUGAGUUUAGAGUAGACAGAGUGUGAAGGUGAAUUGACUGUUUGCAGAGGAGAUCUGAGUUUAGAGUGGACAGAGUGUGAAGGUGAAUUGACUGUUUGCCGAGGAGAUCUGAGUUUAGAGUGGACAGAGUGUGAAGGUGAAUUGACUGUUUGCCGAGGAGAUCUGAGUUUAGAGUGGACAGUGUGAAGGUGAAUUGACCCUUGGCCGGGGAGAUCUGAGUUUAGAGUGGACAGAGUG